rnacentral:rRNA from 1 species
AAAGAGGAGUGGCGAACGGGUGAGUAACACGUAGAUAAUCUGCCUUCAGACGGGGACGAACCCAGGGAAACUUGUGCUAAUACCCGAUGAGACCACAAGAAGGGAUUUUUGUGGCCAAAGGCGGGCAGCAAUGCUCGUGCUGAAAGAUGAGUCUGCGUCCUAUCAGCUAGUUGGUCGGGGUAAAUGCCUACCAAGGCUAAGACGGGUAGCCGGCCUGACGAGGGUGAACGGCCACACUGGGACUGAGACACGGCCCAGACUCCUACGGGAGGCAGCAGUGAGGAAUUUUCCGCAAUGGGCGCAAGCCUGACGGAGCGACGCCGCGUGAGGGAUGACAGCUUUCGGGUUGUAAACCUCUUUUAUUAAGGAAAAAGAUCUAUAUGCUAAUAUCAUGUUAGAUUUGAUGGUACUUAUUGAAUAAGCCCCGGCUAACUACGUGCCAGCCGCCGC